rnacentral:lncRNA from 1 species
CUACCCUGGAUGAAAGUCCAAGGGUUUAUAAUUUUUGUUUGGUGCCAUGUCUGUAAUUUGGUCUGCUGUGCUGUUUGUCCUGUCUGUUGUAUCUGUCCUGUUGUUCUUGUCAUUUGUGUCAAUCUCAGUUCUCCCCAUGGGGCUAUCUAUCUGACCCUAGUCUGUGUUACUGUGCUGUCUGCCCAAGUUUCACAUUGGUGCUGUGUGUUUGUUCUUCUUUGUCUCAGUGCUGUGUUUGUAGUUUGUUUGUCUGUUUGUCUUGUCUUGACAGAGAAUGACUUGGGACAGAAUCUACCAGGACAGACCCCUUCCCUUUGAAAAACAGAGACUUUCCUGCUGCAGUGGCUCCAGACAGAGAAUUCCAGAUCCUGACAGUGACUCAAGGUCUCUAAAGAAGAUUAUGGGGCUCCAUGGACUGUGACAAUGCUGACCAGUGAGCAUGCUGCCAGGCAUGAUGGGGAUCAGACUGUGGACAGGCUACAGGACACUGGAGAAUUGAUUGCACCAUUUUUGCCUAGACAAAUUAAGAGUAUCUGCAUAUUGCCAGAGGCUUAAGAGCUUGGACCUUGAUCUGAGUUACUGCCCAGCAUUGGUGGCCCAUGCCUUUAAUCCCUGCACUCUGGAGGCAAAGAUGCCUUGCUGGAACCCUUAAGAAGUAACGAAGGGCAAUACAUAGUGAAGGUCCUCCCUGAGAUCCAGAAAGAAGGGAAUAUACACUGACAGAUCACCCAGAUCACCUGUGGAAUGGCCAGCAUCAAGCAGCUGCAGCUUAAACAAAAGAAUAACAUUUUGGCACCUGGACGUGGAAAGGCUCUGCCCUUAUACCUUCUCCCGAGGCCCGUUGGCGGGCGUGUGUUAGGUCAAGGGUACCCUUAACACACGGAUAGACAACCCAUGUUCCAUCUCACUGGUUUGCUGGGACUCUUCAUACAACACCAGACCCAAUUCGGUCUAAAAGGCACCAGAUAGUACCACAUGGCCCAGACUACAAUGAAACAACAAUCAACCCCAGGACAUGGCAGCACCCCAACCCUCCAAAGACAGUCAAUGCCCCAGGCCAGCAGGAAGCAGCCUUGAGACAUCUUCGCCCCUACUUCCCUAACCUGCCACGCCAAAUUCUCCAACUUUUAUAAUAAACAGCUGGGAUUGUAAGAACAAUACACCUGGAUGACCCUGCCCCUGCCCCCUAACAAUGGGGCACUCACCCGCCAUGCAUUGCCACCUGUGAGGACUCUUACGCAGGUGCAAAACCCCAGUGCGCAUAUGCAAUCUCCCCUUUAAAAGAUCCUGCCACCCAUCCCUCUCUUUCUUCCUUUUGGCUCCUCUUGGGUUGGCUGACUACCCAUCCCCCCUCCCCCCCUUUCUGGUAAAU